rnacentral:rRNA from 1 species
AGCAUAUCAAUAAGCGGAGGAAAAGAAACUAACAAGGAUUCCCCUAGUAACUGCGAGUGAAGCGGGAUGAGCUCAAAUUUGAAAUCUGGCGGCUCCGUCGCCCGAGUUGUAAACUGGAGAAGCGUUUUCCGUGCCGGACCGUGUACAAGUGCCUUGGAACAGGACGUCAUAGAGGGUGAGAAUCCCGUCUUUGACACGGACCCCCGGUGCUCUGCGAUGCGCUCUCGAAGAGUCGAGUUGUUUGGGAAUGCAGCUCAAAAUGGGUGGUAAAUUCCAUCUAAAGCUAAAUAUUGGCGAGAGACCGAUAGCGAACAAGUACCGUGAGGGAAAGAUGAAAAGCACUUUGGAAAGAGAGUAAAACAGUACGUGAAAUUGUUGAAAGGGAAACGCUUGAAGUCAGUCGCGUCUGCCGGAACUCAGCCUUGCUUCUGCUUGGUGCACUUUCCGGUUCGACGGGCCAGCAUCGGUUUCGAGCGGCGGACACUGGCUUGGGGAAGGUGGCGACUCCGGUCGUGUUAUAGCCCCUUGUCGCGAACGUCGCCCGGGACCGAGGAAUCCGGCGCAAGCCUGGGAUGCUGGCGUAAUGGCUUUAAACGACCCGUC